GACGCAGAGAUUGUGUGUAUCGGUAUUGUGCUUCGAUUCAAUGCACUGUUCCGAAAGUAUUCUCUGCCACACAGAUCUGGGGAAGGUGGGCAGUUGUGCUUCAUCUUUUUCAUUGGAUUUCACAACAAUCAUCUUCCCCACAUUU